rfam:Lucilia cuprina strain LS Scaffold285, whole genome shotgun sequence.
ACCCCAUGAUAUAAGCCGGCAUGAAGAAUGUAUUCCAAUUCUUUAUGUGACUAUGAUUGGGAAAAUGAAAUCUGCUCCGAUGUGUGUAUGUUAUGAAAUGAUUUUAAUCACAUUUCUGUACAAAGUAAAUUUCAGAGUACA